AGGACCGAGUGUAUGUGCAACAAAACAAUGUGGAGAAUGUCUACAACUUGGGCCUGAUAAUUUUUCGAGAUCAAGUCGUACGUUACGGAUGCAUCAGGGAUCACCUGAGGCAAACCCUGCUGGAUAUGAUUGCAAGAGAGAGGAAAGGAGAAGUUGUAGACAGAGGCGCAAUAAGAAAUGCUUGCCAGAUGUUAAUGAUUCUAGGUCUUGAAGGAAGGUCAGUCUAUGAAGAAGACUUCGAGGCUCCAUUUUUGGAAAUGUCUGCAGAAUUUUUUCAG